AUAAUUAACCUGACAGGGGUAGCACCAUGAUUACUUUGAUGGUCCGCCCAGGGUGAGGCGCAUCUAUUGCACUGUGGGUGUGUUGACUCCUGCGGUUUCCCCACCUUAAUUUUGCCUGGCUAUGUUGAAGGGGCAGCCGUCGUCACAGCGGACCUCUUGAUUAGUGUCAGUGUCCUU
ensembl:snRNA U1 U1 spliceosomal RNA